rnacentral:ncRNA from 2 species
UUUUAAGAUAGAGGUUGCGUCAGAAGGGUAACGUACAUAGUGAAGGUUUCUGUCGCCGAUGGCAUUUUUGAUGCCAGGUUGAGUGAGAGUAGAUUUUACCAACUGUCAUAUCUUGAUGAUAUGGAGAGCUAUUUUAUGU